rnacentral:lncRNA from 1 species
ACUUACAGGAAGAUCCUCAUUGCCAGGAGCCUCAAACGUCCUGCAGAAAAUCAAAAAAAGGAGAUGACUUUGGCUCCGUCUCUGAUUCCACAUGUUCCACCUGAGAAAUCCUACCUACCACUAUUGCUCCAGUACCACAUGUGCAACAAUGACACCCAUUUGUCUCUGAAGCUGAGUCUGCUUUCCUGAGUUCCAGACCCACAUUUUUAAUGACUAGCAAGCUCUCACUAGGAAGUCCCCC